GAUGAACGCUGGCGGCGUGCCUAAUACAUGCAAGUCGAGCGAACGGACGAGAAGCUUGCUCCUCGGAUGUUAGCGGCUGACGGGUGAGUAACAGGCGGAUAACCUACCUAUAAGACAGGGACAACGUCGGGAAAGCGGAGAUAAAACCGGAAAAGAUAUUGAACCGCAAGGUUACAAAGUGAAAUACGGCCGUGCUGUAACCUACAGAGGGAUCCGCGCUGCAUUAGCUCGUUGGGAAGGUAACGGCUUACCAAGGCAACGAUGCAGAGCAGACCUGAGAGGGUGGUCGGCCACCCGGGAAGUGAGAGACGGCCCCGACUCCUGCGGUGGGCCGCGGUCGGGACUCUUCCGCGAUGGAGGAGAGCCUGACGUAGCAACGCCGCGUGAGUGAUGAAGGUCUUCGGAUCGUAAAGCUCUGUUAUUAGGGAAGAUCAUAUGUGUUAGUAACUGUGCACAUCUUGACGGUACCUGAUCAGAAAGCCCCGGCUAACUACGUG
rnacentral:rRNA from 1 species